UCACUUUUCCGCAACCCCAGGCUUCGGCGCUUAGACUGGAAAGGGCGAGCCCUGAAGCGGUGAAAGGAACGGGUCUCCUAGCAUCUUCCAGAACUUACCACAGAGAAUUCCCAUCUUCAUUCCUUGGAGACUUGAGGUUUAACAGAAUCAGAGAAAUUCCCAGGAACACCUUCAAGAAACUCAAGAAUUUGAACACUCUGUACCUCUACAAGGAUGGAAUUCGUAUACGAGAUAAGCAGACAUUAAAGGACUCAUCCUUGGAACAGCUGUACCACCCCUGGGCUGGCGGCCAUCGCAGUCAGGUGUGGCCUUGUUGCUAAGUGACGAUAUUGAAGCGACAUUAUUCCAUGAGAUUUCAGUCUAGUUUCCUGAGGUCGUUUGGACUGAGCUUCAUCUUCUCUCCUCCUUUUUACGGCCCGUUGGGCUGACAGGAUGACGGAGUCCCCCAGGGACCCCUGUUGGAACAUGAGGUAAGUUGAGGAUGGUGUUUGUGCUGAGGUUGGUAGAACAGAGGUUUGGAGACUGCUUC